UAAGGUGUUUAAUUUUGAAGUAAUAAGGAUUAGAAAAAGUGACAAACAUUGAAAUAUUACAAUGGAAUAGCAAUCCCUCCCAGAAAUAUUACAACCUCUGAACCUGUCUCUUUCUCAUUCUCUCUCACUCUUCCUUUCUAUAAACAAAGAACAAUGAACCUACAAACAGAAACACUUACCUCUCUCUCUAAUCCUUAUUACUUCAAAAUUAAACACCUUACAACAACCUUCAUUACAUGUACAUAUUUUGAGAGUGAAAAACUCGCCAGGAAACACCAUUAAACCUCUAUAUACAUCAAACAAAAACACAGUAGUUGAUCAUUACUAUUAGCCAUCCCACAAUUUUUGUUCUCCUCCUCUGAUGAUCAAAAUUUGCUAUUUUCUAGGUUUUUUCAAUGGAGAGUUCAAUGCUUAAGCUACUGCAGAGAUGCUGCAAUUUCGCCUAUCUUUGCUAAGACAAUCAAACCCUUCAAUCCUUACAGCAGGCUUGUGCCCAAAUUUCAUUCGAACACACCCGCCUCCCUUGCGUGCUGAUGAUGAGGACGGUGAUAGCGGAGCAGGAGACAGGGGAGUUAUAAUUUCACUGCCAAAUUGGGCAUCUUGGACUACAGGGUUUGAUGCUCUACUUGGGGGUGAUCCACAGUAAAACGGCGGCGAAGAUGCUACCUGGUAACCUGAUCUUUCCCCACCACAUCCUCCCUUAGUAAGGAUUAUGUCAAGAAGCUCAGCCCCAGCUAUUGAUUCUCCCAUGUCAGUCUGGUGAUUGAUGGGCAAUCUUAAGGGUCUGAAUUGGUCGUGAAGGGAAGGAUUUGAAAGACCCAAACGGCGAGGCUUGGGGCAAACCAUAGAGUCUACCACCAUCAUCCUCCUCUCCUCGCAGCCUCCCAUGGCGCUUUUUCGCAGGUACCCACAAGAAUUCAUUUUCGAUUAUUGUUCACACCACGAACGCCUGAGCAGCCAGAAAGGCUCC
rnacentral:misc_RNA from 1 species